GGCCCGGUAGCGGAUGGUCCGCCCCUGCUCUGAAUAACAGUUGAGUUUUCCCCCACUCUGCGGGCAUCGCUCGUUCGAAUCGAGCUCGGGCCA